CCCGCCGCGAGCCCCUCCCUUCUCUUCGUGCCGCCGGCCGUCGCGGCGACGCAGAGUGGCCCAGAUGCGGCCACCCCGUGGUUGGCCUCGACGAGCACGGCCUCGAUCCGGCCUCGGCAGGAAGACCUCGAGCCAAGGAGCGCGGCCUCGAUCGGGUCUCGGCAUCUGGGGCGGCGACGGAGGAGGGGAAAGGAGGGGAGCAGCAGCCAGCAUCGGGACAGUGGCGGCGACUUGACUCCAUAAGCUGGUCGAGGUGGUUCAAGUAAGGCCGGUGGUGGGGUCAAGGGGCAGGGGAGGCGGGCGAAGAGGAUAAGAAGCAGCCGGCCCGUCGCGAUGGUGUGAGGCUGCAGGGAAGAGGAAGGAGGAGGACGACGGGGUGAAUGAGUAGGUCAGCCCUCAUGGAGACGGCGCCGCCGGCCAGGGGCGCUGUUGGCGCGCUGGACGUCGUCCUUCUCAACCCGUGCUCGCCUCCCCUCGCUUCUGGCGCCCAGGAGCUCGAGUAGGAAGAGGAGACCUCGAUGGCCUGCGGCUCGCGGAGACCCGCGCAUCCUCUAACCUCGACAAGAUCAGGUCAGUUUAUUUUCUUCCUCUUUGCACACCAGUCCAGGUAGAGGUGGCACGGUGGAGCAGGCAUCAGACCAAGUUUAGAACGGACCAACCCUUGCUUUUGUAGAAAUUUUGCCCCCAUAGUUAGUGUAUAGCGGCUGGAGACAAAUGAUGUUUUUCGUCAUUUGAACUAUUCGAUACAUGCUCCAAUUACCAAACGAAUGGGCAGGCAACGGCCAUUUGAUUAGUUAUGUUACAUACAGCUAUGAAUGCCCAACAGGCAGUGAGUCCAAGAGCUCUGUCAGAUGUUCAUUGCAUAUAUCCAGUGCAAAGAAUGAUACAGAAUUUGCAAACCGAAGCAGGCGCCAAAAUGAUUAAGUCCCUGAUUGGGUUUAGAUUGCGCAUAUCUGUAACAUAAAUAUUAAGUGACAUAUGAUGCAUUAUUUGAAGUAUGAUAUGCCAAAACCUAUACCUGGGCUAAUAUACCAUGGCUUCCAUGGAGUUUGAUGUAGAUUAGUAAAUGGCCGUGUGCCCACAUAUGCUUUCUUUAGAAUGUAUGUUAUCUGAUUUCCAAGAAUUUCCUGAAAGUAGAUUUGAUAUCCUCCUUACAUGUUCAGUGUUCAUUUCUGAAAAAUUGUUAACAGGAGAAUUUAGUGUCUCACUUUUAAUCUAAGUGAUAGAAAACACUGCUUGUUAAAGUAAUCUUAGUUAGACAAUGAUUUACCUAAAUAACUAACUUACUCAUGAUAAUAGCUUCGUUAUUUAAUCUGAAUAUCUGAUUGUGCUUCUAAGCAAAAUACUAUAAAAGUGCAAUUAUUUUCUUUUUAUUGCAUCACUCUUGCCAGUAUUAAUUGUGGGUUAGUGGAGCGCUAAACUUUUGUAUUUUAUAGCUUCGAGAUAUAACUUUUUUUUGUUUCUGAACAAAUAUAAAUUUUAUGUGUUGCAGGCAAUUCCUUUCAAUCCAUGGAACAGUGUGUGCGUUAGGCGAUAGCAAGGCCGUCGGACAAUCAUGAUGCUAUUUUCUUAUUUGAAAUCAGAAUGCUACUAGGACAUUCUUAAUUUUGGAAAAUCAGAUCAAACAGGAGAUAUGAUUGGUACCUGGUGAUACAAUUGGAGAAAGGGAUAUGAUAUGUCUGGCAAUGGUUUAGGAAGGUAUUCACUUAUCCGAAACAAAAGCAUAGAUACAAUUGGUGUUCAGAUUGUUAGGGACGAGGAUCAUCAGUGGCCAUGCAGGAGCAACAACAGGAGAUCAUGCCCAGUUCGUGAAUUUAUUCUCCUAGCUUGGAGGCUUCCUGCUCAAGGAGGGAGCAGCAGGCAUAGAAGAAAUCCCAAGCCAAUUUUGCUCAGCUGUAGCAUCUUCCACUGAUAAUAAGUCUGCACAGCAGCCUGGUGAGGUUGAUGUUCUUGCUCAGUAUAAGCCAACAAUGGAGAAAUUGACCAAGCUAUGUUUCAUGAUCAGUUACAGACCAAGCCUAUCUUUUUGCUGCUUCUACAUGUUGCUAUGAUGGUCAUUCAGCCCAUUUUCUUGAACGUGCACUACAACGAGAGAUCUGGGCUGCUUCUUUGUGGCUUCCAAACUUAAAGUGUUUGUUUGGAAGUUAGUUUAGUUUUUUGUUGUGGAUUCACAGCUUCUCACAUGUACCGUCCUCUUAGACCUUUAGAUUUUCAAAGAAACUAAAUGAAGAUAUGGUGGUAUGGUCUCAAUAGUACAACUUAAAGCCUUCCAUGCUUUAUAUUUUGUCUGAAAUUUGCUCUGGAAGAAUCAUGUAUCUAUGUUAGAUCCGAUGAGAAAAGGCGGCUUCCAAGCA